UCCAGGGUAGCCUAGUGGACAUGGCAUCUGCCCGGUAAGCGUGUGGGUUCGAUUCCCAUCCCUGGAU